UAAAUAGUUGAAACUCUCUUCAAAGCCAUAUUUCAGUCAAAAAAAAAAAAAAAAACAAAGAGCCAAACAACCUCACCGUCGCGAUUAAGCUCAACGGCACCGUUGAGCUCCCACCGUCGCGAUUAAGCUCAAACCGUCGCCGAUGAAGCUCAAACCGUCGCCGAUGAAGCUCCGUUAAGAGCCAACCGUCGCCGAUUAUGCUCAACGGCGACCAUUCGCCUUCCUUCGAACCGGCGACCAUUCGACUUCCCGGCGACCCUUGGCAUUCCUUUGAACCGGCGACCCUUCACCUUCCUUCGAAUCGGUGACCAUUUGACUUCUCGGCGACCCUUCGCAUUCCUUUGAACCGGCGACCCUUCGCAUUCCCGGUGACCGUUCGCCUUCCCGGCUUUGAUUUUUUGGCGUCCUAAUGCGCAUGGUGGCGUUCACUCUCGCCUCAAUACGUCGACGCUUCAGCCUCUCUCGAAUCGGAACUAGAAGUUUGCCCAUCACAUUCGAGCUUCGCCUUUGGAGUUUUGAUCUUCAAUUUAGGAAGUUCGUCUUUGCAUAACUGAUUUGGAGAUAGAUUUAACUUCCAACAAUUUUGGUGGGCUCAGUGUAUCUUCGCCGUUUCCUACUUCUUAGCUCUAGAUGGAAAAUGGUUACUAAGGAAAGAAAUUUAGAAACUUCCACCAUUAUGUGACAUAGAGAGAAGAUGGAAAAGUCUGCCAGCAAUAGAUUAUCAAAAUUUUGAAUAGGCGAAAUCAGCUAGCAGCUAAUACUUUUUAAGGGCAGUGUUCUUUAUUGGAAUUUAGUGAGCUUUUUACCCUUUAAUCUUUUAUGAUAAUAAUUUUUUUCCUAGCUUCUUGCACCUCCUUGAUUUUUGUUAAAGUAUGCUUCACACCAUAAUUUCUUGUUAUUGUCAAAGCAUCUUGAAGGUGAAGGACAUUAAUAAAGUAGCCCUUUACAUGGGUGGCGGUUAUUGAAAAGAUUCUUAAUAUGGACAAUUUGAGGAAGAGAAGUAUUUGUAUUGCAGAAUGGUGUUCUAGAUGCAAAAACAGUGGGGAAAUCUAUGGAUCACUUUCUUCUCCUUUGUGCUUAUGUAUAAAGUUUAUGGUCCUUGGUGUUUUGUUUGUUCGGCAUCACGUGGUGGUGCCUAAGCGAGUGGUGGACUUGCUGGCAUGUUGGAAGGGGUUUUUGGUGGUCAUAAUUCUGCAGAAGUGCAGAUAUAUGGGGUGCUAUCCCACUAUGUAUUAUGUUGACUAUUGUGCAGGGAACUAAGGCCAUAUGCUAUAUCUAGUAGACGUGCUGUACCUGCUCAUAUUGAGCUUCCUGACUGGGCAGCUGAUGGUAUCCCAAAAACUGAGCCCAAUAGUGAUCUGCAGCAUGUUGUUGAGGAAAAUAUUCUCAAAGUGCAAGAAGAUCAUUGUCAAGAUCCUAAUGCAAUUCCCCUUAUACAAGAGGAGAUCUUAAACUUGGUUUUAAGAAAAAGUCCGGUAUUGUAAAAGGACUUGGCCUGAGACCUUCCUCUUCUCUAGUAACCACCGCCUCAUCUAAUUCCUCGGUGGAUUAUAUCUAACGGCUAGAAAAUGAGAUAAUUGAGCUCAAAGAGGCAAGAGUUAGGGAUCAAGAGGAGCGAGCUAGGGACCAAGAGGCACGAGCUAAGUAAGAAGAGGUCCAAAAGAAUUUUCUUAACUUUUUGAGGAGUAAGGGUUAUGAUGAAGCUCUUACCAAUAGGGGUGGUUCAACUUCAAGUUAAAACACUUAUUGUAUGUGUUGCAAACAAUUAUUGUAUAGAAGAAGUUUGAAUUGCAUACUUG